GAGAGCCUGACUAAGGUUUUCGAGGAAUAUGGCAACGUGGUUGGUGCUCGAGUCCUCUACGACGGCGAUACAGGUCGUUCUCGGGGCUAUGGCUUCGUAUGCUACUCAACUAAGGAAGAGAUGGAUGCUGCCCUCGAAUCCCUUGACGGAGUGGAGCUUGAAGGGCGAAAUCUGAGAAUCAGCUUGGCUCUUGGGAAGAAAACAUAAGGGGAGACAGG
rnacentral:misc_RNA from 1 species